rnacentral:rRNA from 1 species
GUGUCAGCAGCCGCGGUAAUACAGAGGGUGCAAGCGUUAAUCGGAAUUACUGGGCGUAAAGCGAGCGUAGUCGGUUAUUUAAGUCGGGUGUGAAAGCCCCGGGCUCAACCUGGGAAUUGCAUUCGAUACUGGAUAGCUAGAGUUCGGCAGAGGGAAGCGGAAUUUCCGGUGUAGCGGUGAAAUGCGUAGAUAUCGGAAGGAACAUCAGUGGCGAAAGCGGCUUCCUGGACCAGAACUGACGAUCAGGCUCGAAAGCGUGGGGAGCAAACAGGAUUAGAUACCCUGGUAGUCC